AGUUCUCAACCCGCAUCCAUUUGAAAAAAGGGUGUGGGAUUUGGAUUAUGGAGUUUGCAGGCUUUCGAAUUGAGGUCUGCUUCUCUGAAAUGUAUUAGUGGCAAUGUGGAAAAGCUACUGUGGGUGUGAUAACUAUCUAUGCCUAUCCAGUGCUCUGCUGUGCCGCUUGCAGGGAAUUUUUGAUUUUGACAG
rnacentral:misc_RNA from 1 species